rnacentral:rRNA from 1 species
AGAGAUGCACUGGGUGUAAAGGGUGCGCAGGCGGUUUUGUAAGACUAGAGGUGAAAUCCCCGGGCUCAACCUGGGAACUGCCUUUGUGACUGCAAGGCUGGAGUGCGGCAGAGGGGGAUGGAAUUCCGCGUGUAGCAGUGAAAUGCGUAGAUAUGCGGAGGAACACCGAUGGCGAAGGCAAUCCCCUGGGCCUGCACUGACGCUCAUGCACGAAAGCGUGGGGAGCAAACA